GACGAACGCUGGCGGCGUGCCUAAUACAUGCAAGUCGAACGAAGUGGGGACGGGUGAGUAACACGUGGGUAACCUCCCAUCAGAGGGGAUAACACUUGGAAACAGGUGCUAAACCGAUACUGAUGGAUGGACCCGCGGUGCAUUAGCGGGUUGGUGAGGUAACGGCUCACCAAGGCCACGAUGCAUAGCGGAUCUGAGAGGGUGAGGGGCCAAGCGGGUACUGAGAGACGGCCAAGACUCCUACGGGAGGCAGCAGGAGGGAAUCUUAGGCAAUGGACGAAAGUAUGACCGAGCAAAGCCGUGUGAGUGAAGAAGGGUUUCGGAUCGUAAAUAUCUGUUGUUAGAGAAGCGGUAUCUACCCAGAGAGCCACGCUCAACUACGUGCCAGCCGCCGCGGUAAUUC
rnacentral:rRNA from 1 species